rnacentral:rRNA from 1 species
GAUGAACGCUGGCGGCGUGCCUAACACAUGCAAGUCGAACGGAGCUGCUUUGAUGAAGUUUUCGGAUGGAUUUAAAACAGUUUAGUGGCGGACGGGUGAGUAACGCGUGGGUAACCUGCCUCACACUGGGGGAUAACAGUUAGAAAUAGCUGCUAAUACCGCAUAAGCGCACAGUUCCGCAUGGAACAGUGUGAAAAACUCCGGUGGUGUGAGAUGGACCCGCGUCUGAUUAGCCAGUUGGCGGGGUAACGGCCCACCAAAGCGACGAUCAGUAGCCGGCCGGAGAGGGUGAAGGGGCACAUUGGGUCUGGGACACGGACCAAAGUCCUACGGGAGGCAUCAGUGGGGAAUAUUGCACAAUGGGGGAAACCCUGAUGCAGCGACGCCGCGUGAGUGAAGAAGUAUUUCGGUAUGUAAAGCUCUAUCAGCAGGGAAGAAAGUGACGGUACCUGAAUAAGAAGCCCCGGCUAACUACGUGCCAGCAGCCGCCGCGG